rnacentral:rRNA from 1 species
AGCGAACGCUGGCGGCAGGCUUAACACAUGCAAGUCGAGCGGGCAUCUUCGGAUGUCAGCGGCAGACGGGUGAGUAACACGUGGGAACGUACCCUUCGGUUCGGAACAACUCUGGGAAACUGGAGCUAAUACCGGAUACGCCCUUAUGGGGAAAGGUUUACUGCCGAAGGAUCGGCCCGCGUCUGAUUAGCUAGUUGGUGGGGUAACGGCCUACCAAGGCGACGAUCAGUGGCUGGUCUGAGAGGAUGAUCAGCCACACUGGGACUGAGACACGGCCCAGACUCCUACGGGAGGCAGCAGUGGGGAAUAUUGGACAAUGGGCGCAAGCCUGAUCCAGCCAUGCCGCGUGAGUGAUGAAGGCCUUAGGGUUGUAAAGCUCUUUUGUCCGGGACGAUAAUGACGGUACCGGAAGAAUAAGCCCCGGCUAACUUCGUG